rnacentral:rRNA from 1 species
UAGGGAAUCUUCGGCAAUGGGGGCAACCCUGACCGAGCAACGCCGCGUGAGUGAAGAAGGUUUUCGGAUCGUAAAGCUCUGUUGUAAGAGAAGAACGUGUGUGAGAGUGGAAAGUUCACACAGUGACGGUAACUUACCAGAAAGGGACGGCUAACUACGUGCCAGCAGCCGCGGUAAUACGUAGGUCCCGAGCGUUGUCCGGAUUUAUUGGGCGUAAAGCGAGCGCAGGCGGUUUAAUAAGUCUGAAGUUAAAGGCAGUGGCUUAACCAUUGUUCGCUUUGGAAACUGUUAAACUUGAGUGCAGAAGGGGAGAGUGGAAUUCCAUGUGUAGCGGUGAAAUGCGUAGAUAUAUGGAGGAACACCGGUGGCGAAAGCGGCUCUCUGGUCUAUAACUGACGCUGAGGCUCGAAAGCGUGGGGAGCAAACAGG